AACGAACGCUGGCGGCGUGGAUUAGGCAUGCAAGUCGUGCGUGAAAGUGUAGCAAUACAUGAGUAAAGCGGCGAACUGGUGAGUAACAGGUGGGUAACGUGCCCUGAAGUGGGGGAGUAACACCGGGAACCGGUAGCUAAUACCGCAUGUGGCGUCGAGGACCUUCGGUCCUUUCCCGUCUAAAGACAGCAGUGCGCUUCAGGAUCGGCCCGUCCCCGAC
rnacentral:rRNA from 1 species